GUACUUACUUCAGCAGCACAUAUACUAAAAUCGGAACGAUACAGAGAUCAGCAUGGCCCCUGCACAAGGACGACACGCAAAUUUGUGAAGCGUCCCUUAUUUUU
ensembl:snRNA U6 U6 spliceosomal RNA